AGCUCUGUGAUUGCAUAGCCUAAUUAGGCAAUAUACGCUAUUCCGACACAAGCAUAUGAGCAGACAACUUUUGAGAGAAAGUAUGAGAGCU
rfam:Corchorus olitorius cultivar O-4 contig12335, whole genome shotgun sequence.